AGUUCCUCCCCCACACGGCUAACUUCCACCUCACAGCGGAAUAGCAGAGCGCAAAGCACAGAGAAGCCUCCUCAAAACACCUCCAGAAAGACUCAAAACACAAUACAGGAUAUAAGCAGCGAGGACGCCGUGUGAAGGGGAUAAAAAGCUAAAACAAUGUGUCUGCAGCUACCUCAGAUCUCGUCUUCCUCGUCUGGGGGGUGUUGUACCCCUGUCUGCCUCCAGGGGGCCUGAGGUGGCCUGCAAGUGCUCAAGCCUCUGAGUCUUACUGGCUCUGCGAGAGGGAGGGAGGGCUACACACCCCCUUAUGUAGUGAGCCAGCGUGCAUUCACUCCAGCGCGAAGGUCUGAGGAUUUCACCAAACGUUGCUUUGCGUGUGCUGUGACCUCUGUAUACUUGCAGCUCUGUGAGGGACAAGGUCGUCCCAGCAGCCCUGUUUUGGAGAAACACACAUGGACUCACUUUUCAUAAUCCUUGGAGAUUUCAACAGAGUAAAAAUAAACUACGAGCUACCAAUAUAUAGACAGCAUAUUGAUGUCCCACCAGAGCGCACAGCACACUGGAUUACUGCUACGCAGUUCUUAAGGACGCAGGUGGCUCUGUGUUCUGAGCAGCCCCGGGACACUCGGGUCUCUUAUUCCAACCUACAGGCAUAAACUAAAAUCUGCACAGCCUGUGGUCAAAACAUCGAGGAAAUGAUGCAGUGAGGCACAGCAGGGGCUGCAGGUUUUGGUUGUACGGAUUGGAGUGUUUUUUGAAGCUGCAACUGGCAACCUCGAUGAACCGACUGACACCGUGACAUCGUACAUAACCGUUUGCGAAGACGUGCGCGUGCCACCCGAGGCAUGUAGCGCACACAACAAUAACAAGCCAUGGUUCACAGCCAGGCUAAGACAGCUUCAUCAGGUGAAGGAGGAUGCCUGCAGACGUGGACAUGGAGCCCUGUACAAACAGGCCAGGAACUCACUAACGAAGGAAGUCAGAGUGGCAAAAAAAAAAAAAGUUACUCUGACAAAGUGACAAACGGGUUCCUGAGCAGACGCCCCUUCGUCGGCGUGGAGACAAGACCUCUAGAAGACUGUCGGCCCCCUCGCUGAGGCAAACAGAGACCUGGCAGAUGCUCUGAAUGUCCUCUACUGUAGGGCUGAGAGGGGAAAGUUCACACCCCUCACCCGAUCCGAUCCGACGUUGACGGCUCUCACCACACCUCAGACCACUCCCCGACCCUCCCUCCCGACACGCAGACUGAAGAGUACGUGUUCCAGCUCCUUCCACAGACAGAAAACCAGGAAACCAUGGCGUACACUAAAACGUUCAUGCACAGGAGCAUUGUCUGGCCUUAAGCCCUCACCCUAAUAAACAGCUAAAUAGACUAGUAAGAUCUGUCAUGCCAUAGCUACUCUUGUUUUCUCUAAAGCCAUGCUACUUCACAUCUAUGGUAAUGUAUUGUGCAAGGCUUUAUCACAGGUUCCCAUACAUAGUCACUACAGGUGUUAGCAUUACCACACAUACUGGCACUUUAUGUAUACUGUUGUCCCAUAAUCUCUAUAUUGCUUAUAUAUUGUGUAUUGUAUGUAUAUUGUCUGUUUUUGUUGAAAGUAACCAACAGCCAGAACAAAAUCUUUCUGUUAUGUGUCAGCAUACGCUGAUAAAAGUCUGAUUUGAAAUAUGAAACUUAAAAUUAAAAUUUAGCGUUUGGCGCCCUCUA